UACGAAGGGGGCUAGCGUUGCUCGGAAUCACUGGGCGUAAAGUGCACGUAGGCGGCUUUGUAAGUCAGAGGUGAAAUCCCGGGGCUCAACCCCGGAACUGCCUUUGAGACUGCAUCGCUUGAAUCCAGGAGAGGUGAGUGGAAUUCCGAGUGUAGAGGUGAAAUUCGUAGAUAUUCGGAAGAACACCAGUGGCGAAGGCGGCUCACUGGACUGGUAUUGACGCUGAGGUGCGAAAGCGUGGGGAGCAAACAGG
rnacentral:rRNA from 1 species